GGGGGUUUAGCUCAGUGGUAGAGCGCUUGCCUAGCAAGUGCAAGGCCCUGGGUUCAGUCCCCAGCUCCG
rnacentral:tRNA from 1 species